rnacentral:ncRNA from 2 species
ACGAACCACGCGGGGUGUCCCGUCCGGUGACCUGCGUCGCCGGGCCGAGGGACUGAGACGGGCGGUACGGCCGCCCGGACCCGUCGAACCUGAUCUCGCUAGCACGAGCGGAGGAACGUGGGCAUGACGACGC